UAGGGAAUCUUCCGCAAUGGGCGAAAGCCUGACGGAGCAACGCCGCGUGAGUGAUGAAGGUCUUCGGAUCGUAAAACUCUGUUAUUAGGGAAGAACAAAUGUGUAAGUAACUAUGCACGUCUUGACGGUACCUAAUCAGAAAGCCACGGCUAACUACGUGCCAGCAGCCGCGGUAAUACGUAGGUGGCAAGCGUUAUCAGGAAUUAUUGGGCGUAAAGCGCGCGUAGGCGGUUUUUUAAGUCUGAUGUGAAAGCCCACGGCGCAACCGUGGAGGGUCAUUGGAAACUGGAAAACUUGAGUGCAGAAGAGGAAAGUGGAAUUCCAUGUGUAGCGGUGAAAUGCGCAGAGAUAUGGAGGAACACCAGUGGCGAAGGCGACUUUCUGGUCUGUAACUGACGCUGAUGUGCGAAAGCGUGGGGAUCAAACAGG
rnacentral:rRNA from 1 species